rnacentral:misc_RNA from 1 species
GGAGAGAGGACCAGUAACCUUCCUGCAAGAGAAUGAUAUAUUGGCCAGGUAUAACCAUUAAUAUGAACCAGCAGUAUUCAGUUACAGCAACAGAUGUUAGAAGAAAAUGUUAAAAUGGUUGAAAAAGAAAUUUCUUAUGUGUUCAAAUUCCUGCUAAAUUGAAGGACAAGUUCUACAAGACUGCAAUUUUCUGGUUGUGAUGUAUGGUACUAGUGCUAUGCAAAAAUGAAAUUACAUCUACAUAAUGAAUGCAGCAGUCUGGAAGAGUAAAGGAAACCAUGAUAGAUGAUGUUUAUGCAUAAAAGCACCAGAAAAGAAAUGGGUAUAUUUCUAUGAAGGUAGAAGAGGCACCCAAUAAGUUGAAAGAGAGAAAAGUAAGAUAGUUUGGUCAUGUCCAACACAGACUGCAUGCGCUAGCACAAAAAAUAGUAUAUCUGAGUUAUAAUACUAAAAAAGAUGAUAAGUAGACCAAGAAUGACAUGAGGAUUAGUGGCUAAAUACGAUAGAGCAUCACUAGCCCUUUCUAAAAUGUAGCCCUCAACUGAGCAUGAUGGAGGAAAGGGAUUCAUACACCUAAACCCAAUUAUUUUGGGAAUAACACUUGGUUGAGUUGAGUAUUCCAUGAAUGAUAUGCUAUCAGGUUCAAGUCAGUCUAAUUCUAGAUAGAAUUAGAACUUCUAAUAAAUCAAACAACAAACAAACUGUUAGAUGAAUGCUAACACCCUAACUGAUUCACUUUUUUACAAGCCAACAAUAUGGUGCUUCGAACAAUGGUACAAAACGGUAAGUGGAAAAUUCAAAAAACUACAAUUUCAACGUUACAUAUGGAACAUAAUAUUACUAUUGAACUUGGAGCGUAAUGACUAAUUCUAGCUUCCUAAACAAUAUGGACUGGAUCUUCAACAAUCUCUUUUCUUUCUUUGGAGAUUAUUGAAAACAUAAAAGAGUAAAACAAAGAACCAUGCUAAUACAUGUACGCAUCAGAGGAAAGUGACAACUAAAUGGUGUAAUUCUCUAACAAAUAAAAAUUUUACUGCAGCACAUCACAAACUGUAUAGAAACUAAAUAUGUACACAAUUUAUAAUUUUUCAAAUACCACUAACCACAAUAUUACCCAUAAAAAAAAGAACCGAGAUUGAUAGAUUGAAAGUUGUUAGGAUAUAUUGUGGAUGGUUUCCCAUAUUUGCAAACAAAAAGAAACUUGAGCGCCAUAUAAAGUACAAGGCAACCAAACCAAAGCCAUUUUGAUUGAGGUGUGCCAAGUCCAACCCAAUUGCAGCUAUCAUCCCAUUUUGUGCUCCAACCCCCUAGGCUCGAGAAUUCAAUAUGGUAUUAGAGCCUUUCAAAUCAAAAGGUUUAGAUUUUAAAUCCUAGUCAUCGUCAUUCAUUAAUUAAACAUCUAAACACAAAGUAAAAUAGGCAUGUGUUUGUCCACGCCUCAAGCCCAGUGGCAUUUGCAUGCAGGAGCCAGGAGUGUGUUAGAGAUAUAAAACUAUUUUUGUGGGUAGGUUGAGCCGCAAUGAGCUAGAACCAUGAGUUGAUCUAAUCAAACUAGACUUAAGUGGAUCUAUGGGCUAGGUUAGCGUGCUAGAACCUAAGGAUAGAGCUAUAAGAAACCAAAUCCAAGUAGGUGGACCACCAUAUGGCAUGAAAUGACUAGGCCUCAACAGGUUAAGCCUAAUUACACUUGAAGGCGAGUGUUGGGAUGUGAAUGGUUUCCCACAUUGGCAAAGACAGAAAUUUGAGGGUCAUAUAAAUUCUAGGACAACCAAACCAAGAUGGCCUAGGCCACUUUGGUGGAGGUGUGCUAAGUCUAACUCAAUUGCAACUUGCAUCCCGUUUUGUACUCCAACCCCUUGGGCUUGAGAAUUCAACUAAAGUACAAAGACAGUACCAACCUAGAAGGAUCAAAUGAGAACUC